AUUGAACGCUGGCGGCAUGCCUUACCCAUGCAAGUCGAACGGCAGCACGGGUGCUUGCACCUGGUGGCGAGUGGCGAACGGGUGAGUAAUACAUCGGAACGUACCUUAUCGUGGGGGAUAACGCAGCGAAAGUUGCGCUAAUACCGCAUACGCCCUGAGGGGGAAAGCGGGGGACCGUAAGGCCUCGCGCGAUUAGAGCGGCCGAUGUCUGAUUAGCUUGUUGGUGAGGUAAAAGCUCACCGAGGCGAUGAUCAGUAGCUGGUCUGAGAGGACGAUCAGCCACACUGGGACUGAGACACGGCCCAGACUCCUACGGGAGGCAGCAGUGGGGAAUUUUGGACAAUGGGGGCAACCCUGAUCCAGCGAUGCCGCGUGAGUGAAGAAGGCCUUCGGGUUGUAAAGCUCUUUUGUCAGGGGAGAAACAGCAGCUCUAACACAGUCUGCGAAUGACGGUACCUGAAGAAUAAGCACCGGCUAACUACGUGCCAGCCGCCGCCGUAA
rnacentral:rRNA from 1 species